AAGUGCCUUAAGGGUGUUCGGUGGAUGC
rnacentral:rRNA from 1 species